rnacentral:rRNA from 1 species
GUAGUCUGCAACUCGACUACAUGAAGCUGGAAUCGCUAGUAAUCGCGGAUCAGAAUGCCGCGGUGAAUACGUUCCCGGGUCUUGUACACACCGCCCGUCACACCAUGGGAGUCGAUAACGCCCGAAGUCAGUGACCCAACCUUAUAGGAGGGAGCUGCCGAAGGCGGGAUUGAUAACUGGGGUGAAGUCGUAACAAGGUACC